UUCCAGACUCCUACGGGAGGCAGCAGUGGGGGAUAUUGCACAAUGGGGGGAACCCUGAUGCAGCGACGCCGCGUGGGUGAAGGAGCGUUUCGGCGCGUAAAGCCCUAUCGGCAGGGAGGAAGGAGGACGGUACCUGACUAAGAAGCCCCGGCUAACUACGUGCCAGCAGCCGCGGUAAUACGUAGGGGGCAAGCGUUAUCCGGGUUUACUGGGGGUAAAGGGGGCGCAGACGGGGAUGCAAGCGAGGGGUGAAAGCGCGGGGCCCAACCCCGGGGCUGCUCUUGGAACUGCGUGGCUGGAGUGCAGGAGGGGCGGGCGGAAUUCCUGGUGUAGCGGGGAAAUGCGUGGAUAUCAGGAGGAACACCGGUGGCGAAGGCGGCCUGCUGGACUGCAACUGACGUUGAGGCCCGAAAGCGUGGGGAGCAAACAGGAUUAGAUACCCGUGUAUG
rnacentral:rRNA from 1 species